UCUACUCCCUGUACACUGACCUUCUGAUC
rnacentral:piRNA from 1 species